UACGGAGGGUGCGAGCGUUGUCCGGAAUCACUGGGCGUAAAGGGCGCGUAGGUGGCCUGUGGAAGUCUGCGGUGAAAGCCCGGCGCUCAACGCCGGGUCGGCCGUGGAUACUCUCGGGCUUGAGCUUACUAGAGGCAGAUGGAAUUCCGGGUGUAGCGGUGGAAUGCGUAGAGAUCCGGAAGAACACCGGUGGCGAAGGCGGUCUGCUGGGUAAUGCUGGACACUGAUGCGCGACAGCGGUGGGGAGCAA
rnacentral:rRNA from 1 species